rnacentral:rRNA from 1 species
CGGGGGUGCGAGCGUUGUCCGGAAUCACGUGGGCGUAAAGGCGCGUAGGUGGUUUGAUAAGGGUGUGGUGAAAGUCCGGGGCUCAACCCCGGAUCUGCCGUGCCGACUGUCAAACUCGAGGGCUGUAGAGGCAGACGGAAUUCCGGGUGUAGCGGUGGAAUGCGUAGAGAUCCGGAGGAAGACCGGUGGCGAAGGCGGUCUGCUGGGCAGUUUCUGACACUGAUGCGCGACAGCGUGGGGAGCAAACAGGAUUAGAUACCCUGGUAGUCCACGCCGUAAACGAUGGGUACUAGGUGCCUGGGGGAGCGACCCUCUGGGUGCCGGCGCUAACGCAGGAAGUACCCCGCCUGGGGAGUACGACCGCAAGGUUG